GUCUCUGUGGUGCAAUGGGUUAGCGCGUUCAGCUGUUAACCGAAAGGCUUGGUGGUUUGAGCCCACCCAGGGACG
rnacentral:tRNA from 1 species